UCAACAUUAACAUUCUUGUAGAAUAUAGUAAGUCUCUUUUUUCAUAUUAAUUGAUUUCUAUAAUGUUUAACAUUAAUUAUAAUUGUAAUAUUUUAUAUUUCUCUUCCUCAUUAUGUAUAUAAAUAUAUUUUACGUUUUAUUUAUUGUUAUUAUUAUUUUAGUAUUAUUUUUAUUGUUAUGAUUAAUAUAUGCAUGUAAUUGUAAAAUUAUUAAUAUAUAUAUAAUCAAUAAUAUAUCACUAAUACAAUACAACUAACUCUUAAAAUUCUCCCUAAACAAAACUCACUUAGUAGUUAAUAAUGAAGUAAAUUCAAUAAAUAUAUUUCAUUUAUUAUAUAAGUGUCUUUUGAAUUCUAUAGCCAUGCUUCAUCUAUAUUUAAAGAACAUUCUUAUGCUAUUAGCAUAUUGCAAAAAGAAACAAAAUAUCAAUACUUUAUAUAAAAUCACUAUUAUUGUUUGUAGUUUUAUUUCUUUGUUUUUAAAAUAUUCUUUAAUAAUUUUUUUUUUUGUUGGAGCUACAUUUCAGUUUGGAAGAUUUUUUACUUCUCUCUAUUUAGAGAAACACAACCAAUUGUUGAUCGUUGAUAGAUAUAAUGAUGAUCACAAUUAUUUCUACAAUUUUUUUCUAUAUAUAUUUGUUAAGUUUGUAGAUGAAAGUUGCUAUGAGUUCCUCCAAGAAAAUUAAUAUGGUAAUUUUGGUUAAAUUAAAGUAAAUCUCAUCUCUCAUGUAUUUGUUUCUUCAAAUUUUAAUCUCUUUUUCUUCUUCUU